AACAACCCGUUCUCAUCAGUCUGCGUAUAAAUAACACGACUUUACACUUUCUAUUUGCGUGUAAUGCAUACGCCAAAUGCCAUUUUUGCGUGCAUAUGAUACGCCAAUCCUUCCCAUUAAUUUCGGUGGAGAGCAGAUGCGUCCAAAUAACACGCAUCAUCUUCAGCGGCAGUGACGUCACCAGCGAGGCUCGUUCAGUUCACCUGAUGCGCGUACACCUUCAAACAGUUACGUCGGAUUACAUACUCCACAACAACCUGUAAUCCAGCAGAUCUUUAAAGAAGCCAUCUCUUGUAAAAUCUCUCUCUCUCUCUCUCUCUCUCUCUCGCUCUCGCUCUGCUAGAAUUAACAGGGAACUUCAACUCCACGCUCCCAAUGCUGAUAUUGAAGAAGCUGUCAAGGGGGCUGAACAAGUCCUUCAAAGGAUCAACCCUUCACAGGAAGGCCUGUCAUGAGAUUUGAAUUUGACCAUCUUGUGCAUUUAUGAAGAAGACCAAAAGCUGCGAAGGCAAACACUUCCAAUGUACAUGAUAUCUGUCCACACCUCAUAGUCUGCCUUUCUUUCUGUGGUGAUGUUACUGAACACAUCUGUCUUAGAAGCAAGAGAAUGGAAAUCCUAGUUUAACUUUUCAAGUGCUACACAUCAGAUCUUCAAUGAAUUUGGGCAAUCAGAUCACUUAAAGUUGUUCACACAAAGACCAAUAACUAUAAUGAGAAGUAUUUUAGCAUCCACACCAACAGACAGUACUGUUCUCUUAAAUCUCUUAAAUGUUCCUCUCAUUCUGUUAAAUUUAUACACACAAUUCUGCCUUUCUCUGCCUUUUUCACUUCAUCUUUAUCCUGUACUCCCUCACUCACACAUUCUUUUAUGCUCUGUUGUAAGGCAGAAACUGAGAGUUUGCAUGAUGGCAUUUUCUCAGACGCUGAAUCUGAUGUGAAUAGAUGAACUCAGGAGCCUACUAGAGUUGCCAAGGAACUUGUGCUUGAACUGAAGACCAGAAACGCAAAGAAAAUCAGUCAAACCAGUCCUAAAGAAAUGAGGAAUGAACAUGGACUUCUUGUGCCCCAAAAGAAAAGACAGAAAGCUCCUAAAAUGAGCAAAUAAGCUGUGCAUCAUCUCUGGUGUUUGGGAAGGAAAUGACUGAAUAUGAUGAAGCCAAUUGAUGAAGAUAUCAAUUGAAUGGCCACCGAGUGCAUCACUGCUACCUGAACCCAUCAGUUAUCUGCUGUGAAGACUGCAUUCACAAACCGCUCUACUGCGACAGCUCAGAUGUUACGGCCUGUAAAAGUAAACAUCACAGCUAAACAACGAGAGCUAGUUGUGGUGGGAUUCUUUUGGCCAAUAUCCCCAACAAGAAUCAAUGUUAAGUCCAGUGCAACAAUUAUAAAUAAAAAUACUAUAUAUUGUUUAUUGAUUUACCAUACCCUAAAUACAUGUUUUGGCCCUCCAGGACAUCUAGACCAGGUGGAGUGUGAGGAGGACCGUCAGAGACUCCAGCCAGCCGAGCCAUGGAUUGCUCUCACUGUUACCAUCAGGCAGACGUUAUCACAGAACCUACACCAGCAGACAGUGAGACAAGUUCCUUUCACAGGCAAUCAGACUGAACUGAACUCAUACCAGUAAAACCAUACACACCCCACCAACCUCAUAUGCCCUGCACUCUUAUCAGUUAUGCUGACUGGACUCAAUAUUAUUAUGCACCCUGACAUUCUGUUUGCACUAAUUCAUACCGUGCUUUACUGCAGAGAUGUAUGUGUACUGUGAUUAUUAUUGUUUUCAAUUCAUGCUCUUUGUAUAGCAUAAUUUUUAAC